UACGAAGGGUGCAAGCGUUACUCGGAAUUACUGGGCGUAAAGCGUGCGUAGGUGGUUUGUUAAGUCUGAUGUGAAAGCCCUGGGCUCAACCUGGGAAUUGCAUUGGAUACUGGCAGGCUAGAGUGCGGUAGAGGAUGGCGGAAUUCCCGGUGUAGCAGUGAAAUGCGUAGAGAUCGGGAGGAACAUCUGUGGCGAAGGCGGCUACCUGGACCAGCACUGACACUGAGGCACGAAAGCGUGGGGAGCAAACAGG
rnacentral:rRNA from 1 species